GACGAACGCUGGCGGCGUGCUUAACACAUGCAAGUCGAACGGUAAGGCCCUUCGGGGUACACGAGUGGCGAACGGGUGAGUAACACGUGGGUGAUCUGCCCUGCACUUCGGGAUAAGCCUGGGAAACUGGGUCUAAUACCGGAUAGGACCACUGCCUGCAUGGGUGGUGGUGGAAAGCUUUUGCGGUGUGGGAUGGGCCCGCGGCCUAUCAGCUUGUUGGUGGGGUGAUGGCCUACCAAGGCGACGACGGGUAGCCGGCCUGAGAGGGUGACCGGCCACACUGGGACUGAGAUACGGCCCAGACUCCUACGGGAGGCAGCAGUGGGGAAUAUUGCACAAUGGGCGCAGGCCUGAUGCAGCGACGCCGCGUGAGGGAUGACGGCCUUCGGGUUGUAAACCUCUUACAGCACCGACGAAGCGCAAGUGACGGUAGGUGCAGAAGAAGGACCGGCCAACUACGUGCCAGCCGCCGCAGUAA
rnacentral:rRNA from 1 species